AUUGAACGCUGGCGGCAUGCUUUACACAUGCAAGUCGAACGGUAACAGCACUUCUUUGUCUGACUUGUGGCUAACGGGUGUGUAUUACAUCUGAACGUGCCUAUUAUUUGGGGAUAUCUACUCUAAAGAGUAGCUCAUAUCUCAUUUCCUCUAAGUUUUAAAGCAUGGGACCUUCUUGCCUUUCUCUACUUUAUCUGCUUAUUGCUGAUUAGUUAUUUGGUGUGUUAAAGGCUUAUCAAUCCGACGAUCUGUAUCUGUUCUGAGAGGAGGACCAGCCACACUGGAACUGAGACACGGAACAGACUACUACGGGAGGCAGCAGUGGGGAAUAUUGGACAAUGGGCGAAAGCAUGAUCAAGCAAUGCCGCGUGAAGGAAGAAGGACUUCGGGUUGUAAACUGAUUUUGUAAGGAAAGAAAAGAAGUAAAAUAAUACAGGAGGGUAAUGACGGUAACGAAAGAAUAAGCACCGGCUAACUACGUG
rnacentral:rRNA from 1 species